AGGCAGCAGCAGCUCAUAGCUCAGCAUUUCUCCUCUCCAUCUGUCAGUCAGCUCACCUUGCAGAGCCCUAACACUGAAGAAGGAAAAGAAGAUAUUUUCCACCUAGGAGAACUUGAACAUGUUGUUUUCCAGUCUUCUGAGGGUGGUCUUAACAUCAAUGUGGAUAGGAUCCAGUAUUGCUCAGAAGGUAACUCAAGGCCAACAAGCAUUACUGGUUCAGGAGAAGGAGGCUGUGAGCCUGGAUUGCACAUACGAAACCAGCAAAACAAGUUAUAGUCUCCUCUGGUACAAGCAUCUCAGCAGUGGGGCAAUGAUUUUCCUUAUUCGUCAGGACUCUUACAGCCAGCAAAAUGCCACAGGAGGCCGCUACUCACUGAAUUUUCAGAAAGCAAAGAGUUCUGCCAACCUUGUCAUCUCAGCUUCACAGCUGGAGGACUCAGCAGUGUAUUUCUGUGCCCUGAGGGAGCCCACAGUGAGAGGCGUGUUAGAAGAAGGUGUAUCAAAACCCCAGGGCUCUGCUUCAGACAUCCACCUGCUGUAGGGAACAAGGCAGGGAAUGGUAAUCACAGACAGGAAGUGGUCAGGGUGUAGGUAGGGUUGGUGG